UAUUACUUUAAAAUUAUCACGGGACGGGUAAAGAAAUUAUAGAACGGAUUUUAUUUUGGAAUUGGGUUAUAUGGUGGAUGUAUUUGAAUCAAUAUUUA
rnacentral:sRNA from 1 species